GAUAACGGGAUGCGUUUGCGUAACCAAGGACAUAGCUGUGUUUUACCUACUCAUCCAUUAAUCCACACGGUGUACCUGUGAGACAGAUUCCUCAUGGAAAAUCUUCAUAUGAAGGUUUGCAAGUUACCAACACACGGUCUCAGUACGUGUCCAACUUCAAGCCCUUCUACACCACUGGAAAGCGAUGAGCACAAUUUGUGUGAAGUUCUCUGGAAACCAAAGUCACGUUCCUGCCUUAAUUCGCAGCGCCCAUGUGUGGCCUUCAGAGGAGCUAACUGGUUAAACAGAGCUAAUUUUUAAGUAAUGAAGACUGCACAAAGAUCUUGAAAAAAAUCUAAGUUAUUUAUUAUAUUUUAAGACAGACAUUUGAAAACUGAAGCCCUAAAACUCUUGAGACACUCCCAUAAAUGCUGCUCCCUUUCUCUCAGUAACUUCAUCCAAGCAUGCCUUUCUCCUACCUAGAAAAUCUGUCCACCACUGAGGAUUCUAGAGGAAAUUAAAAUGCUGUUUCUGCUUUUAAAAAGAAAAUAAGUGUCAAAUCUAUUCAAAACAUCAAAUGCACCUAAGAAUACUGUAAAGGCAACAACCUACUGCAAUUUCCCUUCACAGAAAACAGAAUUGGUUGGAUGCAAGCUACACAAAUUGAUAGCUCCUUCCUCUCCGUGAUAUCAACAGUUAAAAGGGAUUGGAUGUGCCAUCAUAACCUUUGCAGCGCUCCCCAGCCUGUUUCGAGCUUGACGCGCUGAGCUGCUGUACAACCACGAGAGAGAAAGUAAAAUGGUAGAUACGCAAAUGUCUCCAAGGAGGAGGAAACUACAGGUCACGUUUUGGGUGCCUUCCAGUGGCUCCAGGCAGAAGAGCAUGGCUCCAGAGCAGCUAUGCAGAAGAAAGUCCAAAGAAAGGCGAACAUUCAGAGGCUGCUUCUGGGACAAGUCUGGGUCCCUUAAGAAUCAACAAGUCAUAAAAAUGUUCCUUUGAUUCAGAAAUCCCACAAAGGUUCUCUCUAUAGCAGCAAAGAUGGUGACUAUGACAGCACAUAGUUGGCCUUUCACAAGCACUUUCUAAUCCUACUCAUAACUGGGGAAGAAGGACCGUUCCUUGCCAUUUUUCACACCAGAAAAGGAUGGCUACCCGUACCAAACUGCUCUUUGAACUUUCACUGCUGUGGAAGCUGUGACUUACUCUUAACAGAAAGGAGGGGUAAGGAUGCAGCAAAUCCUGAAUCCAAACAAAAGCAGCUUCUAGUACAGUUCUCGUCAAAGAGAGCCAAAAAGAACAGCAAAGACAAAACUGGGACAAUGAUGAUUUUUGAAUCUUUUUUAGAGGCUCCCCCUCAUGCCCUUUUAGUUUCCCCAAAGCACGUCCACCACAGGGGUAGGAUGUACAGAUCAAUUCCUACAGAUUUUUUUUUUUUCCUUUGUACAUUAUUUAUCAAAUUGCUCACACACACACACAAGAACUGGACAAAAAACUAUGCCAUCAACUUCA